AGUGAACGCUGGCGGUAGGCCUAACACAUGCAAGUCGAACGGCAGCACAGUAAGAGCUUGCUCUUACGGGUGGCGAGUGGCGGACGGGUGAGGAAUACAUCGGAAUCUACUUUUUCGUGGGGGAUAACGUAGGGAAACUUACGCUAAUACCGCAUACGACCUACGGGUGAAAGCAGGGGAUCUUCGGACCUUGCGCGAUUGAAUGAGCCGAUGUCGGAUUAGCUAGUUGGCGGGGUAAAGGCCCACCAAGGCGACGAUCCGUAGCUGGUCUGAGAGGAUGAUCAGCCACACUGGAACUGAGACACGGUCCAGACUCCUACGGGAGGCAGCAGUGGGGAAUAUUGGACAAUGGGCGCAAGCCUGAUACAGCCAUACCGCGUGUGUGAAGAAGGCGUUCGGGUUGUAAAGCCCUUUUGUUGGGAAAGAAAAGCAGCAGGUUAAUACCCCGCUGUUCUGACGGUACCCAAAGAAUAAGCACCGGCUAACUUCGUG
rnacentral:rRNA from 1 species